UUCCUCUGUGCUGAUGUUCCUUCCCCCUUGAUGCGACGGCGUUCCUUCCCCCUUGAUUCAUCGGCGUUCUGCCGUGGGCAAGCUUGUGCUGCACGAUGGCAUCCGCGACGGUCCGGUCCACCCGUCCUCUACUCUUCCUUGGUAGUCCCUUCCUUGCUGUUUUUCAUUUCCCGUCUUGCAGCGUUCGUCCAUGGCGGCCGACCGCUCCGUCGGUGUCCUUCCUUGGUUUUCCUCUGUUUCAUUCGGGAUUGUCUGAGGGGUUCAUGUUCGAGAUGACCAGGUGCGGAUGGGAUGGCAAAGUUUCCAAGAGGCCUUCAUACAGAUUCUAAUUCCAGUUUAGCUACAACAAGAAAAACAUAGUUGUUGCUUCAUGGGGAACAUGCGAGAGAAGGAUGUGGAGGCGACGGCUCUGGCCUUCUCGAUGUCCAGAUCGAGAAAACAACGAUUGGACCGCCGGCUUCAGUAGCUUUGUAGUGAUACUCAAGGCGUUGGCACAUUGUCGUGAAAUCCACUGUGAACUGAAAAAAGAUAAAUGUCUUCUGCUUUGGACUUCACCGACAAAAGAAUCAUUCAAUGCACACAAUUCAAUUGACUGUUAUAUGAGACUUUUCGUUAGUCUAGCUGUAUGUGCAAGAGAUAAUGUAAUUAUUAUUUCCUGAUUUAUUUAUUCAUAAGAUGCACGUAAUUGUGUGCAUUAUGUAUGAUAUGUUUUUUCAUUGGA